AUUGAACGCUGGCGGCAGGCCUAACACAUGCAAGUCGAACGGUAGCACAGAGAGCUUGCUCUCGGGUGACGAGUGGCGGACGGGUGAGUAACGUCUGGGAAACUGCCCGAUGGAGGGGGAUAACUACUGGAAACGGUAGCUAAUACCGCAUAACGUCGCAAGACCAAAGUGGGGGACCUUCGGGCCUCACACCAUCGGAUGUGCCCAGAUGGGAUUAGCUAGUAGGUGGGGUAAUGGCUCACCUAGGCGACGAUCCCUAGCUGGUCUGAGAGGAUGACCAGCCACACUGGAACUGAGACACGGUCCAGACUCCUACGGGAGGCAGCAGUGGGGAAUAUUGCACAAUGGGCGCAAGCCUGAUGCAGCCAUGCCGCGUGUAUGAAGAAGGCCUUCGGGUUGUAAAGUACUUUCAGCGGGGAGGAAGGCGGUGAAGUUAAUAGCUUCACCGAUUGACGUUACCCGCGGAAGAAGCACCGGCUAACUCCGUGCCAGCAGCCGCGGUAA
rnacentral:rRNA from 1 species